rnacentral:rRNA from 1 species
CAUGGCAAGUCGAGCGAAGAUUAUAGCAAUGUAAUCUUAGCGGCGGACGGGUGAGUAACGCGUGGGCAACCUACCUCUAACUGGGGGAUAACACAGGGAAACUUGUGCUAAUACCGCAUAACAUCAUGAAAUGACAUCAUUUUAUGAUCAAAGGAGCAAUCCGGUAAGAGAUGGGCCCGCGUCCAAUUAGCUAGUUGGUGGUGUAACGGACCACCAAGGCGACGAUUGGUAGCCGAACUGAGAGGUUGAUCGGCCACAUUGGGACUGAGACACGGCCCAGACUCCUACGGGAGGCAGCAGUGGGGAAUAUUGCGCAAUGGGGGAAACCCUGACGCAGCAACGCCGCGUGAAGGAUGAAGGUUUUCGGAUCGUAAACUUCUUUGAUGAGGGACGAAAUAAAUGACGGUACCUCAAAAACAAGCCACGGCUAACUACGUGCCAGCAGCCGCGGUAAUACGUAGGUGGCGAGCGUUGUCCGGAAUUACUGGGUGUAAAGGGCGUGUAGGCGGGAAUGUAAGUCAGAUGUGAAAUACCGAGGCUUAACUUCGGGGCUGCAUCUGAAACUAUGUUUCUUGAGUGUCGGAGAGGAAAGUGGAAUUCCCAGUGUAGCGGUGAAAUGCGUAGAUAUUGGGAGGAACACCAGUGGCGAAGGCGACUUUCUGGACGAUAACUGACGCUGAGGCGCGAAAGCGUGGGGAGCAAAACAGGAUUAGAUACCCUGGUAGUCCACGCCGUAAACGAUGGAUACUAGGUGUAGGAGGUAUCGACCCCUUCUGUGCCGGAGUUAACACAAUAAAGUAUCCCACCUGGGGGAGUACGGCCGCAGGUUGAAACUCAAAGGAAUUGACGGGGGCCCGCACAAGCAGUGGAGUAUGUGGUUUAAUUCGAAGCAACGCGAAGAACCUUUACCCAGGGCUUGAC